rnacentral:ncRNA from 2 species
UGAACAGGUAGAGGUCGCAAAUUUCAUUACCUCUGUGGAGCGAAGCAACGCAUAGAAGCAGGGUUAGGGAAAUUGGCCGAAACGAUUUUUUUCUUGCUUGAAUUAUAUCGUUGGGGCGUAAGUAAAUAGCUUGCGUACUGUCUUAGCACAAGCUAAGGUGCGCUAUGUUUUGU